AAGUCGUAACAAGGUUUCCGUAGGUGAACCUGCGGAAGGAUCAUUAACACGUAUCCAACGUUAACCAACCCUGUGAACUUUGUACUCGUGCCUGAAUGCUGUGUCCCAAGUGUCUACUUGCUCUCUCCCCUUAAGUGUGGGCGGGCGGGAAAAGCCCUUCGGAUCAGUGUUCCACAUAUUAACCUUUAUUUAACCCCUGUAACUUGAAACAGUUCUGAACUCUAUCCUUUAAUUCUCUCUUUUGCCUUCAAAAGUAAAAGUCCGAGGAACUGGAUCGUUUUACGAAACUAUAAAACAACUCUUAGCAACGGAUAUCUUGGUUCUC
rnacentral:misc_RNA from 1 species